GUCAAUCUCUAACAAGUUUUUUACGUCGGCCCAGUUUUUUCGACCCGACCCGACCCGGCCCAUUAGCUCUUGAACCCUUUUAGAACAAAGGGGUUUGAGAGGUUUCAGUAGCAGGCAGCUGAGUUGUGAGAGACGGCAAAAGGCAAUGGCUACGGAGGAGAAGAAGAGCGGCUCGUGGCGUCUGCAAAGUGGUCAAUAUCUGGGAGAAGUGUCAGCCCUGUGUUUCCUUCACCUACCUUCUCACCUGUCAAUAAUAAGGGAGCUUCCUUAUUUAGUGGCCGGGUCCGGUUCGCAAAUCUUGGUCUAUGAUUUGGAGCUGGGAACAAUGAUGAGUUCGUUCGACGUUUUCCAAGGCAUUCGCGUCCAUGGGAUUUGCUGCGGCGCUACUCAUACUGAUGGCCCGGAGAGUCAAGGUGUUGAUUUCGAAAUCGCUGUGUUUGGGGAAAGGAGAGUCAAGGUGUUUAGAUUGGAGAUUAAUUUGGGGCAGCAAGUCAGCGUUGGUCUGAGGCUGUUGCACUUGUUACCUAACUUUGGGAAUUGGGUUCUGGAUGUUUCCUUCAUCAAGCAUGGGGAAGGUCAGUGUCUUGCUAUUGGGUGUAGUGACAACUCUGUCCAUCUUUGGGAUGUAUCUACUUCUACCGUGGUUCUUCAAGUUCAGCAUCCUGAGAGGACGCUUCUGUAUUCAAUGCGGUUAUGGGGUGAAACUAUUGAAGCUCUGCGCAUUGCAUCCGGUACUAUCUAUAAUGAGAUCAUUGUUUGGAAAGUGGCUUCUCAGUCUGAUGCAUCAUGUUUGACAAGCCAAGUUGAACAGCACUUUGAUCAAAGCAAUUCGCUCUCAAACGGUGUUCAGCUUCAUAAUUGCCAGUAUGAAGCUAUUCAUAUUAGCAAACUUGCUGGACAUGAAGGUUCAAUUUUUCGCAUAUCGUGGUCCUCUGAUGGAUCAAAACUGGUUUCAGUAUCUGACGAUCGUAGUGCUCGUGUCUGGGCAGUUUGUACUGAAACGAUGCAUUCUAAUAAGCCAGCAGACUCCAUUGGGCUUAUGUUAUUUGGUCACAGUGCCCGAGUUUGGGACUGCUGCAUUUUUGGAUCGUUAAUUGUCACAGCUGGUGAGGAUUGUACUUGUCGUGUGUGGGGCCUGGAUGGAAAACACCUAGAGACAAUCAAGGAGCACAUAGGAAGGGGCAUAUGGCGAUGUUUGUAUGAUCCGAAAUCUUCGCUUCUAAUUACUGCUGGCUUUGACUCUGCAAUUAAAGUGCAUCAGCUGCACAUUCCAUUCUCUGGGGGAUUAAAGGGACAUGCAGAGACAAAACAAAUCGGUGGAAUAGUUACAUACACAACUCGUAUCCCUACUUUAUCCGAGCAUAUUGGACCUAUGGACAGCAAAAGUGAAUAUGUUCGUUGCUUGCGUUUUACAUGUGAGGACACCCUUUAUGUUUCCACAAACCAUGGUUAUAUGUACCAUGCUAAGCUAUUGGAUACCGAAGUAGAAUGGACAAAACUUGUUCGCGUCAGUGAGGAGGUGCCAAUUGUUUGCAUGGAUUUAUUGUCAGAACCAUUCAAACUUUCUUCUGGUGUUAAGGAUUGGAUUGCUGUUGGAGAUGGUAAAGGAAACAUGACAGUUGUUGGGGUUAUAUAUGGUGCUUGUACCCCUAGAGUUGGUUUUGCCUUUACUUGGUCAGCUGGAAUAGAAAGACAACUCCUUGGAGCACAUUGGUGCCAGUCACUAGGUUACGGGUUCAUCUUCACUGCUGAUCCUAGAGGAACAUUGAAGCUGUGGAGGCUGUGUGAUCACUCUGCAACGAGCUGUGAUGUGUCUCUUUUAGCUGAAUUCACAUCAAGUUUCGGAAGUAGAAUAAUGUGUUUAGAUGCAUCUUUGGAGGAAGAGGUAUUGGUAUGUGGAGAUAUACGUGGAAAUCUUGUUUUGUUCCCUUUGUUGAAGAGUGUGUUGCUGGGCACAUUGGUCACUUCUGAUGUUAAAAUAUCUCCAUCAAGUUGUUUCAGAGGAGCUCAUGGGAUAUCAAGCAUCUCCAGUGUUGCUGUUGCUAGACUAAGUAGUAAUCAGAUUGAAAUAUGCUCGACUGGAGCAGAUGGGUGUAUAUGCUAUCUGGAAUAUGACAAAGAUAGGAAGGAUUUGGAAUUUAUAGGGAUGAAACAAGUGAAGGAGUUGAGUCUUAUUCAAUCUGUCUCUGCGUGCAAUAGCUUUGUGAAUGAGCCAUCAAACUGUCAUUAUGCUGCUGGUUUUGCAUCAGUGGAUUUUAUAAUUUGGAAUUUAUUAACUGAGACCAAGGUCUUCCAAAUCCCAUGUGGUGGAUGGCGGCGUCCUCAUUCCUAUUAUCUUGGUGAUGUACCAGAGAUAAAGAACUGCUUUGCAUAUGUUAAGGAUGAUAUCAUUUAUAUUCAUCGACGCUGGGUACUGAAUGGUGAAGGGAAGGAACUCUCUAGGAAUUUGCAUAUGCAAUUCCAUGGGAGAGAGAUGCAUUCCAUAUGCUUUGUCUCAGAAGAAUUGCAACCUGGAGUAACUGGGAAGGACCAUCUGCUCUAUAGAUCUAGUUGGAUUGCAACUGGCUGUGAAGACGGAACUGUGAGGUUGACUAGGUAUAUGCCAGAUGUUGAUAAUUGGUCUGGAUCAAAAUUGCUUGGGGAGCAUGUUGGUGGAUCAGCUGUGAGAUCAAUAUGCUGUGUGUCAAAGAUAAACAUACUUCCGUCAGAUAUGACUGGCAUUCCCAAUAUAAGAACUGCUAACAAUGGAACAACAGAGAAUAGAGAGACUCCAACUUUGUUGAUUUCUGUUGGUGCAAAGCGGGUCUUGACUUCUUGGCUACUAAGAAGUAGGAAAGUAGACAAGAAGGAAGAAAUAGUACGUGAUCCGCAGCAUGACAACACUGGAAAUGGCAAUACAUGUUUGUCCCCAGAGUCGCCUUCAAUGUCAUUCCAGUGGCUUUCUACAGAUAUGCCAGCAAAAUAUUCUAGUAUUCAAAAAGUUCCAACAAACAUCGAGAAAAGAGCUGAUCAAGCUGGCGAUGCUGAUGGUAAAGAUGAUGCAGCAUCAGAAAAGGGAAACAAAGACUUGAACUCCUGCAUUAAAGAUAAAUAUGAAGAUGACUGGAGAUACAUGGCUGUUACUGCUUUUCUUGUAAAGUGCGCCAAUUCCAGGAUAACUGUCUGUUUUAUUGGUGUUGCUUGUUCUGAUGCCACCCUUGCAUUACGGGCUCUAGUUUUGCCCUAUAGGCUAUGGUUUGAUGUUGCUUUUCUGUGUCCUCUAUCAUCACCAGUUCUGUCCCUACAGCAUGUCAUCCUUCCUGCAUGUCUACCUUCUGAAGGCAAUUGGCAGAUUGGAAGUUUGUAUAUUCUCAUCAGUGGGGCUACUGAUGGAAGUAUUGCCUUUUGGGACCUCACUAGAAGCAUUGAAGCUUUUAUGCAGCUGGUAUCAGUGCUUGAUACAGAAAAGUUCAUUGACUGUCAGAAACGGCCGAGAACAGGGAGGGGAAGUCAGGGUGGAAGACGGUGGAGAUCUUUAGACAGUAGAAUGUCAAAGAAUAGGCUAGGUGCCAGUUCUACUACUGUCAAAGCUGGAGUGGAAACUGAUGAGAAUUUGCCAAAGCAUUCUGGGGAUGGAACUUCAUCAAUGCUAAAUGAUAAUGGGAGCAGUAGAACGGCUUCUUCACAUGCUAUUCAUACUGCUUCCCUAGAUUCAGAAGCAAGUGCUUAUGAUUCCUCAUCGGACAUAUGUGAAAUAUCACCAUUACUUGUCUUCAAGGCCAUUCACAAAUCUGGUGUCAAUUCUCUCCACAUUUCAAAUGUAGAGGGUUGUCUAAGUCCUGAAAUCGGUUUUCUCUAUAAUUUAAUUAGUGGGGGUGAUGAUCAAGCCCUUAGCUGUCUUACAUUUGAAUUGUCAUUGUCAACAUUUAGCGCUGAAUUUGAUAAUAUGACACUGGAAAUCAAAAAUUCAAUCACUGAACUUGGAAAUGCAAAGAAGUUGGUUCAUUCUAACCAAGACAAGAAGAAGAACUAUUGGAUCCGAUUCUUAAAUCAUGAUACAGUCCCCUCAGCUCACAGCUCUGCCGUAAAAGGUGUUUGGACAGACGGAUCUUGGGUUUUUUCAACUGGUCUGGAUCAGCGUGUCAGGUGCUGGCGUCUUCAGGAGGAAGGUAAAUUAAUCGAGUAUGCUUAUUUAGUCAUCAGUGUGCCAGAGCCAGAAGCACUGGAUGCUAAACUGUGUGGCAGGAACAAAUAUCAGAUUGCUGUAGCUGGGAGGGGAAUGCAGAUGCUGGAGUUCUCUGAAAUUCUGGCAUCAGUUGAUAUAACCCAGUAAGAGGAAGGAACUAAAAUGAUUUUGUGAGAUUUUGAACCAGACACAUCUCGUCCGCUUAUCUACGAAAAUGAUGCAGGAAUUGUCAACCAUUGAUGAUCUACUUGCAACUAAUGUGGAACUUGAACCAGAAAAGAUUGAAGAUGGGAAAAAUGGAGGUCCUUCAUUCCAUUCUGAUCUUUACAACACGGAAUUAGUCCACAACAUAGCUCAAGGUUUCAUUCCUAGAUUAGCUGCUGCUUGUGUUGAUAAGACAUCUGGAGAUAUCUUCAAGACCCCUGCUUCUGUGGCGGCCGAUGUGAGAAAGGAAAUGGUGGAGUUGUCACUCAAAGAAAUGAGAAUUUUGUUGCAGAAUCUGUUAUCCUAGAAGGUGGCCAAGAUCGUUAAGUGUCUGAUCAUCCCUAUGACAUCAUUUCUGAUUUUGUUUGAUGACUUUGCCAGCUCCAAGAGAAAUUUAUUUAGUCAGGUUUGAGGAUGGCUGCUAAGUGAAAAGAGAGAAGAUAAAAUAGAUGAUUUUGUUCAAGAGAUGGAAAUAAGUGGGUUUUGGUUGGUUGAUGAGAUAGAAACAAUAGCACAGAGUUUGGUAAAGAAUGUCGACCUCAAGAAUUAGCAUCACUGCGAUAUGAAAUUUCACACCCCAGAGGAGCUUGAACAGAAUUUUCCAAAUUGUGGCUAUAGGUCUAUGAGUUGCACAAAUGAUGGAUAUAAUGCCAUAUUUUGUGCAAGCCAGGUGUAUAAACAUGAUGCAAUAUGCUCCUUCAAGAAUCAAGAUAAUUCCAUGCGAACAAAACUGCACCGACACGAUCAUGAGACGUGAGAUGGAUAGACAUUGUAUUACCAUCUGUCCAAUGAAGCUUGUUAGUUGUCCUUUCUAUGCAGUGGGAUGGCAAUUCCCAAUACCACAUUGUAAGCUUGAGCAGCAUCAUUCAGAUGAUCUCCAUUCUCACAUGCUGGUUGUUUUACAAAGUAUUCAUAAAGAAGCAUCGAUGGAAGAUCUGGAAAGAAGCCUGGAGCAACUAAAAGAAGUGAGUUCUUUAUAUCUUAGUUGCACUUUUGUUAACUACAGUUUAAGGGCAAACACCACAAAGAUCUGCUAUUUGGUAUUACAAGAUUUAAACAUAAACAGUUAUAGCAUUGAAUAUGAAAAAUAACUAUGCUCUUUUUGGUAUACCUGGAAGGCUAGAAGUCUGGAACUACCUUUAGCAUUCAACCCCCAGAAAUAUAGAUAUUUCAUUUUCCAAAUAUGUGUAGGUGUCAGUAUAGGCUUCUUAGUUUUAGUGGUCUUAAUUUCGUGGAUAUAUUGGGAAAUGAACAAAAGAAGGCUCAUCAAGCUAAAAAAGAAGCACUUCUAAGAAAACAGUGGCUUAACGUUACAACGACAACUCGCUAGUCAUAGAGGAGCCAUGGAAUCAACAAAAAUCUUUACAGCGGAAGAACUUGAGAAGGCCACAAACAAUUAUCAUGCAGAUGAGAUCCUUGGUGAAGGAGGCUAUGGAACGGUUUACAAAGGAAUUCUACCCUGAAUACUUUCCAGUCCAAUCAACUCACCGAAAAAAGUGACGUCAAUAGCUUUAGAGUUGUCCUGGCAGAGCUACUAACGAGCGGAGUGGCACUUUCUUUUGCUAGACCUGACGCAGAGAGAUGCCCAGCAAGUUUCUUUGUUUCUUCAAUAGAGAAAGAUUGCUUGAUUGAAAUUCUUGAUGCUGACAUAGUGAAUGAGAAGAACAGAGACAGCUCUCUGCUGUGCUUAUCUCGCAAAAAUAUGUCUGAGGAUAAAAAGAGAGAAAGGCCUACAAUGAAGUAGCCAUGGAAUUGGAGGGAAUGCAAAUUACAGCGAAGCAUCCAUGGGGAAGUAAUGCAAAUUCAUGUACCGAGGAGACUGAGUAAUUGCUGGGGUCCUAUCAAUUCAGAAGCUUACAUUGUUAAUGUUAAGGGUGAUGGUGAUGAAGGCUCUAGUGGCACAACUAGUGAGUAUGACAGCAUGCAAAUUCAGAUGUUAAUGCCCUAUGGUGGUGGGAGUUUUAGGUAACUUGUUUCAAUUUGGGUCCUCAUCGAAUAAAGUAAACUACGUAGUGUUAUUAUUUUGUGUAAUUGAUUAAUUUUCGUCAUACAAAGUUGAUAAUAUGUAACUUAGGAUGAGGGAUUUUCUGUUCCAGCAAUUUGUAACAAUUUGUAAAGAUUUGGGUCUUUUCGUGUAUUGUUAUUGGAAUUUGGAGUA